rnacentral:piRNA from 1 species
UGAAAAGGAAAAAAAAUGGGUCUUUCACAU